AGAGUUUGAUUAUGGCUCAGGAUGAACGCUGGCGGCGUGCCUAACACAUGCAAGUCGAACGAAGCACUUCUGAACAGAGAUUCGUCGAAGUUUGGAUUUGACUUAGUGGCGGACGGGUGAGUAAUGUAUGAGCAACCUGCCUUUCGAGGGGGACAACAGUUGGAAACGACUGCUAAUACCGCAUAAUGUAUCGAGGGGGCAUCCCCAUGAUACCAAAGGAGCAAUCCGCCGAAAGAUGGGCUCAUAUCUGAUUAGUUAGUUGGUGAGGUAACGGCUCACCAAGACUGCGAUCAGUAGCCGGACUGAGAGGUUGAACGGCCACAUUGGGACUGAGAUACGGCCCAGACUCCUACGGGAGGCAGCAGUGGGGAAUAUUGGGCAAUGGGCGAAAGCCCUGACCCAGCAACGCCGCGUGAAGGAAGAAGGUCCUCGGAUUGUAAACUUCUUUUAUGAGGGACGAAGGAAGUGACGGUACCUCAUGAAUAAGCCACGGCUAACUACGUGCCAGCCGCCGC
rnacentral:rRNA from 1 species